GAUGAACGCUAGCUACAGGCUUAACACAUGCAAGCCGAGGGGCAGCACAGUGUAGCAAUACAUGGGUGGCGACCGGCGCACGGGUGCGUAACGCGUAUCCAACCUUCCCGUUACUCUUGGAUAGCCUUCCGAAAGGGAGAUUAAUACAAGAUGGUAUUCAAAUUCCGCAUGUUAUUUGAAUUAAAGAAUUAUCGGUAACGGAUGGGGAUGCGUGACAUUAGAUAGUAGGCGGGGUAACGGCCCACCUAGUCUACGAUGUCUAGGGGUUCUGAGAGGAAGGUCCCCCACACUGGAACUGAGACACGGUCCAGACUCCUACGGGAGGCAGCAGUGAGGAAUAUUGGUCAAUGGUCGGAAGACUGAACCAGCCAAGUAGCGUGAAGGAUGAAGGUUCUAUGGAUUGUAAACUUCUUUUAUACGGGAAUAAAACCUCCCACGUGUGGGAGCUUGUAUGUACCGUAUGAAUAAGCAUCGGCUAACUCCGUGCCAGCAGCCGCAGUAACAC
rnacentral:rRNA from 1 species